rnacentral:misc_RNA from 1 species
AAAAAAAUUGAAAUUUGUCUUAGUAAGUUGGGCAAAGUAUUCAAGGAUUUCAGCAUGAUGAAAAUGCCUUCUUCAUGCUUAUUCUAAAUUUUGAAAGCAAUUGCAGCUGUUUGGUACAUGGUAGUUUUAUUUAGUUUCAAUCAUUAUUCUCCUCAAGUAGUCUGAAUCGUAGUAAUGGUCCUUGCAGAUGGUAUGAAAGGAAUCUGAAUUAUUCUCAAAGUUAUUAUAUCCGUCAAUCAUU